CUGACUGUCAAAGUCAAACAAGUGUCAAACAAAUAGGCCGGGUUUCCACUGACGCGGAGAUGUGCGGAGAAGAGCGGAGAUGUGCG
rnacentral:misc_RNA from 1 species